rnacentral:sRNA from 1 species
CACCCGUGUCUAUUGUACCUUGUUGCUUCGGCGGGCCCGCCGUUCUCGAACGGCCGCCGGGGAGGCCCUCGCGCCCCCGGGCCCGCGCCCGCCGAAGACCCCAACAUGAACGCUGUUCUGAAAGUAUGCAGUCUGAGUUUGAUUACCAUAAUCAGUUAAAACUUUCAACAACGGAUCUCUUGGUUCCGGCAUCGAUGAAGAACGCAGCGAAAUGCGAUAAGUAAUGUGAAUUGCAGAAUUCAGUGAAUCAUCGAGUCUUUGAACGCACAUUGCGCCCCCUGGUAUUCCGGGGGGCAUGCCUGUCCGAGCGUCAUUGCUGCCCUCAAGCACGGCUUGUGUGUUGGGCCCCCGUCCCCGGUUCUCCCCGGGGACGGGCCCGAAAGGCAGCGGCGGCACCGCGUCCGGUCCUCGAGCGUAUGGGGCUUUGUCACCCGCUCUGUAGGCCUGGCCGGCGCCAGCCGACCCCCCAACUUUAUUUUUCUAAGGUUGACCUCGGAUCAGGUAGGGAUACCCGCUGAACUUAAGCAUAUCAAUAAGCGGAGGAAAAGAAACCAACAGGGAUUGCCUCAGUAACGGCGAGUGAAGCGGCAAGAGCUCAAAUUUGAAAGCUGGCCCCCUCGGGGUCCGCGUUGUAAUUUGCAGAGGAUGCUUCGGGUGCAGCCCCCGUCUAAGUGCCCUGGAACGGGCCGUCAUAGAGGGUGAGAAUCCCGUCUGGGACGGGGUGUCUGCGUCCGUGUGAAGCUCCUUCGACGAGUCGAGUUGUUUGGGAAUGCAGCUCUAAAUGGGUGGUAAAUUUCAUCUAAAGCUAAAUACUGGCCGGAGACCGAUAGCGCACAAGUAGAGUGAUCGAAAGAUGAAAAGCACUUUGAAAAGAGAGUUAAACAGCACGUGAAAUUGUUGAAAGGGAAGCGUUUGCGACCAGACUCGCCCGCGGGGUUCAGCCGGCAUUCGUGCCGGUGUACUUCCCCGUGGGCGGGCCAGCGUCGGUUUGGGCGGCCGGUCAAAGGCCCUCGGAAUGUAUCGCCUCUCGGGGUUGUCUUAUAGCCGAGGGUGCAAUGCGGCCUGCCCG